AGGGAUUUGAUUGUUGUUCUCAAUUUAAAAUGCUCGAUAGCAAAAGGAAUGCAUAUUUGAAACAGAAGCAUGUCAGCUGGAAUCUCUGUGAAGGGAUCCGAUACCGAUAUAUCAAGAGGAAAAAUGGAGGGCACCAUCCUCAUAGCAAGUUUGACAGGUAAGAACACCAGCAUUACAAUUAAACUUCCAUACACUGCGACAGAUAGAAG
rnacentral:misc_RNA from 1 species